rnacentral:rRNA from 1 species
GAUGAACGCUGGCGGCGUGCCUAAUACAUGCAAGUCGAGCGAACGGACGAGAAGCUUGCUUCUCUGAUGUUAGCGGCGGACGGGUGAGUAACACGUGGAUAACCUACCUAUAAGACUGGGAUAACUUCGGGAAACCGGAGCUAAUACCGGAUAAUAUUUUGAACCGCAUGGUUCAAAAGUGAAAGACGGUCUUUCUGUCACUUAUAGAUGGAUCCGCGCUGCAUUAGCUAGUUGGUAAGGUAACGGCUUACCAAGGCAACGAUGCAUAGCCGACCUGAGAGGGUGAUCGGCCACACUGGAACUGAGAAACGGUCCAGACUCCUACGGGAGGCAGCAGUAGGGAAUCUUCCGGAAUGGGGGAAAGCCGGACGGAGCAACGCCGCGGGAGGGAUGAAGGUCUUCGGAUCGGAAAACUCUGUUAUUAGGGAAGAACAUAUGUGUAAGUAACUGUGCACAUCUUGACGGUACCGAAUCAGAAAGCCCCGGCUAACUACGUG